rnacentral:rRNA from 1 species
GUCGAACGAGAAUCUGCGGAACGAGGAUUCGUCCAAGUGAAGCAGAGGACAGUGGCGGACGGGUGAGUAACGCGUGAGGAACCUGCCUUUCAGAGGGGGACAACAGUUGGAAACGACUGCUAAUACCGCAUGACACAUAGAUGUCGCAUGGCAUUUAUGUCAAAGAUUUAUCGCUGAAAGAUGGCCUCGCGUCUGAUUAGCUAGUUGGCGGGGUAACGGCCCACCAAGGCGACGAUCAGUAGCCGGACUGAGAGGUUGAACGGCCACAUUGGGACUGAGAUACGGCCCAGACUCCUACGGGAGGCAGCAGUGGGGAAUAUUGGGCAAUGGGCGCAAGCCUGACCCAGCAACGCCGCGUGAAGGAAGAAGGCUUUCGGGUUGUAAACUUCUUUUAAGAGGGAAGAGCAGAAGACGGUACCUCUAGAAUAAGCCACGGCUAACUACGUGCCAGCAGCCGCGGUAAUACGUAGGUGGCAAGCGUUGUCCGGAUUUACUGGGUGUAAAGGGCGUGCAGCCGGGUCUGCAAGUCAGAUGUGAAAUCCAUGGGCUCAACCCAUGAACUGCAUUUGAAACUGUAGAUCUUGAGUGUCGGAGGGGCAAUCGGAAUUCCUAGUGUAGCGGUGAAAUGCGUAGAUAUUAGGAGGAACACC